rnacentral:rRNA from 1 species
GAACCUUCGGGUGUAGUGGCGCACGGGUGAGUAACGCGUGGGGAUGUACCAUAAGGUGCGGAAUAACUCAGAGAAAUUUGAGGUAAUACCGCAUAAUGCCUUCGGNCCAAAGAUUUAUCGCCCUUUGAUGAACCCGCGUAAGAUUAGCUUGUUGGUGAGGUAAAGGCUCACCAAGUCGACGAUCUUUAGCUGGUUUGAGAGGAUGAUCAGCCACACUGGGACUGAGACACGGCCCAGACUCCUACGGGAGGCAGCAGUGGGGAAUAUUGGACAAUGGGCGCAAGCCUGAUCCAGCAAUGCCGCGUGAGUGAUGAAGGCCUUGGAGUUGUAAAGCUCUUUUACCAGGGAUGAUAAUGGCAGUACCUGG